rnacentral:lncRNA from 1 species
AUUUUGAUCGAGUUUAGUAAAGAGUUCGAUCCUAAGUAGGAUUUUGAUUUAGGAUUUGUUUAGAUUUAAUUUUGAAUUAGAAUUAAUGCAAGAAUAUAAUUUUGAAUAAUGGAUACUGAAGAAUCUCCUAAAGGUUAAUCGAUCUGUUUAUUCAGUAGUUUGUGAAAGAUAAGUAAUGAAUUAUCAUUUCGAGAUAUUUUAUAUUUAUUUUAAAAAUAAAUAAUUAUUUUUAAAAUUAUGUAUGAUUUAUAAAAUUAUAUUUUGAAUGAAAAGUAAUUCUGAAAUACUAUGGUUUAUUGAUUAUGUAUAUGUUCAGUAGAAAUUAUGAUAUGUUAUGAUAUAAAAGUAUUUUGACAU